rnacentral:lncRNA from 10 species
GUUAGCCUGUGAGCUGCAGUGGAGGAACUGAGGAGGCUCUUCAACCUGUAAAAUGGGAGGGUAGUGCCUACUUCACCAUAGCCGUGGGGAGAAGCCCGUGAAAACACCUCUCAUCUGAGCCUGGGGCUUGUUCUUUCUUUGUUGAAGAGGAAUACAGAGGUGUCAAGGACAGAUGAGAACAAGACUGAGACUUUCUACUUGUUGAAAUCUGCGAGAAAAAAUGGGAAAGGAAUGAAUGAGAGGUUAUCUCUUAAUGUAAGUCAAUGUUUAUUCAAUGCUUUGCCUUGUACAGCCUCAAAUCAUCUUGGGAUCCACGGUGGGAGGCAGCACUGAUGUGAUGUCAUCCAGUGCCUAGAGAUGAGCCUGGCUCUAUUACUGGAGACCGCUGGUGGCUGCAUGGUGCCCUGAGUUAUAACCAAGAUUGCUGAAUAUCUGGGGAGAAAAUUUCUGUCUCUGAUCAGCCUCGGGGGCAUGAGUCAACCUCUGCUAAGUGUUUUGAGCUUGCCUACUGACAAGUUGAUGGCCAAUGCAGAGAAUUAUUAUUCUUAAGAAGAUUGUAAUCACAACUAUGAUGAAUCCAGGUUGAUGAGACAUUAAUGCCUGAAAGCUUUGGAGUAUUUUUGAAAAGCAUCGCUAAAAUAAUAAUUGAAAUCGCAACAAGGGGGAAUCAAGAACAUAAAAGCUGACUGAGAUAACCUCGCAACCCCGCCUGCCUUUUCUAGACACCAGCUUGCUGGGGGGCUUCAUGAGGCUUGUGAAGAAGACAGGACAAAAGAGUCAGGCUGUUGGGAAUUUUAAGGUCCCAAGUGACAUGAUGCCUUCUGAUGUUCCGGGCCUCAGUGGCCUCAUCUGAGAAAUGGGAAUGAUAAUAGCAUAUGUGCAUGGACCAGAUGAGCUCUUCUGGUCCUGUUCCAAUUCUGCCAGCUCUUACUCGAUGAGAUUCUUAACUCCUGGUACCCAGGUGAUUGCAGCAUGCCAGGUGCUCUCGUUCUGGGAGGAGUACCUAACUCAGGGGUAGUAAACGCACUGCCUGGGGGCCAGAUCUGGUCCUUAGAUGUUUUUUAUUUGACUUGUAUAGUUAAAUACUUAUAAACAGCUUUUGAGAUUUAUUACAUAUGGUAAAGUAAUAACACAGACAGAAACAAGUACAAUACUUUAUUAACUGGCUCAGUGAACUGUCACCUAGCAGACACUGGGGUAACCACCAACCAAGCAUGGCUGGCCCCUCAGGAUUCACCCUGGGCCUCCUUCAGUCACUUGACACUGUGCUGUACUUUUUUUAUUUUUUUUGAGACAGAGUCUUGCUCUAUCGCCCAGGCUGGAGUGCUGUGGUGUGAUCAUAGCUCACUGCAGCCUUCACCUCUUGGAUUCAAGAGAUCCUCCCGCCUCAGCCUCCUGAGUAGCUAGAACUAUGGGUGUGCACCACCAUGCCUGGCUGAUUUGUAAAUUUUUUGUGGGGACAGGGUCUUGCCAUGUUGCCCAGGCUGGUCAACUCCUGGACUCAAGCAAUCAUCCCACCUUGGCCUCCUGAAGCACUGGGAUUACGAGUAUGAGCCACUGCACCCAGCCUGUACUUUAAAAUAUUAUUAUUAUUUUUAGUUUGGCCAUGUGCUACCUUGCUGUCUUCUUAAGCUGACACUAAAUUAUGUUGUUGUUUUUUCACACCUAUUCUGCAAUUCUCCGACACCAACUGAGGGUCCAAUAAUUCAAUUCAAUUCCGACAGUAACUACUUGGAAUGCAUGCGGACUGCACAAGUGAAGGGCUCAGUCCCCCAAAACUGCCUGACUUCAGACACUGGUCCCAGGAGAUCACCCAGACUUCUGACCAAUUGGCUACAAAUCGAGAGUUCUCCUGACCCCGCCUCAGGCUCAAUAUUUCACUUGCAUGACUCGCAGAUUUUAGGAAAACACUUCAUUUAUGUUUGCUGGCUUGUUACAAAGGGUACAACUCCGGAACAGCCAGAUGGAAGGUACUGGUGGAGGGGCGCAGAGCUUCUGUGUCCUCUCCCGGCCCCCUACCCUCCCACCCAGCACCUCCAUGUGUUUACCAACUCAGAAACUCUCUGAACCCCAUUGUUAAGGGGUUUUUAUGGAGGUUCCAUUAUUUAGGCAUGAUUGAUUACAAUCUUUGGCCAUGGGUGAUUAAAUUCCAUCUCCAGCCCCUCUCCGCUUCCCAGAGAUGAGUGGUGGUGCUGAAAGUUUCAACCCUCUAAUCAUGGCUUGGUCUUUUUGGUGACUAGCUCUCAUCCUGAAGCUCUUUGGGAGUCCCCUCACUAGCAAGCAAAGUACAGUAAAUUCCGAGAAACUCAGAAACCCUGCUGAGAACUAGAAACCAGACAAAAAGAUUAAAUAUUUAUUUUUUAAUUAUUUCACAGAGUGCCUUUAAGCAAAGGCAUGCACACUCCAAUUUGCCACAGACUCCACCAUGCCCCAUUAUUGCUCACUGCCCUAUUCAUAGAUUUGUGUUGCCUGUUCAGCCUCUGUAGGCAUUUGAAAUUGUGAUGCCUGCUUAAUAGAUAUUAUUUGCCUUAAUAAUAAUUGAAACAGUCAUUGUCAUAAUAAUAGCAAUGAUAAUGUAUUAGUCCAUUCUCACACUGUUAUAAAGAACUACCUGACACCAGGUAAUUUAUAAAGAAAAGAGGUAUAAUUGACUCACAGCUCCACAGGCUGUACAGGAGGCAUGGCUGGGGAGGCCUCAGGAAACUUACAUCAAGGCGGAAGGUUGAAGGGGAAGCAAGCACACCUUCACAUGGCAGCAGGAGAGAGAGAGCAAAGCAGGGAGCGCUGCACAUUUUUAAACAACCAGAUCUCAUGAGAGCUCACAAGAACAGCGAGAACAGCAAGGGGGAAGUCUGCCCCCAUGAUCCAAUCACCUCCCACCAGGUCCUGCAACACGUGGGGAUUACAAUUUGACAUGAGAUUUAGGUGGGGACACAGAGCCAAACCAUGUCAAAUAACAAAGUAGCUAUCAACUGUUGGGUAUUUAUACUAUUCCAGGGGCUGUGCUGAGCAUGUCAGAUAUAGCAUCUUGUUUAAUCUUCACAGAAAUUCUUCUAAGUUGGCCAGGCACGGUGGCUCAUGCCUGUAAUCCCAGCACUUUGGGAGGCCGAGGCAGGUGGAUCACAAGGUCAGGAGAUUGAGACCAUCCUGGCUAACACGGUGAAACCCCGUCUCUACUAAAAAAAAAAAAAAAGAAAUAGAAAAAUUAGCCAGGCGUGGUGGCGGGCGCCUGUAGUCCCAGAUACUCGGAAGGCUGAGGCAGGAGAAUGGCGUGAACCCAGGAGGCAGAGCUUGCAGUGAGCUGAGAUUGCGCCACUGCACUCCAGCCUGGGACACAGAGCGAGACUCUGUCUCAAAAAAAAAAAAAAAAAAAAAAAAAAAAACCCAAAAAGAAAUUCUUCUAAGUAAGCAUUCUUACUUAAGGACUCCCUUGGUCCAUUUGUCUAUUUUUCAGAUAAGGAACCCAAGGAUCAGAAAAUUGGGGUACAUUUUCUAAGGUAACACAGCAAGUAAGGCAGAAAGCUGGAUUGAGCCCAGGCUGUGAAGUCGGAUGGGGUCAUGUGGGGAGUGGGACCAGCUCUAACCUUCGGGGACUGGGUUUUUACUGUAUGAGUGGCACAGGUUUGGUGGUCAGAUGCGCCUGGCGUCAACCUUCAUGCCACCACCCUAGACACAUUACUUAGUCUUUUGAGCUUCAAGUUCCCUAUCUAAAACAUGAGCAUAGUGACAGCCACCUCACAGGGUCACAGUUAGGAUUGUAUGUCUUAAGCACUGGGUAGAAGUUCCAUAAAUGAUUCUUUGCUGCAUCUGGCUGAAGCAGAGUGAUUGCUACAAGGUGCAGGGUCCCCAAGGGGUGCCCUAGCUCCACCACCUGCAAGACCCAGUUCAAGGCUACCUCCUCCAGGAAGCCUCCCCAGGUUCUCAGAACCCAUGCGGCCUGAUUCCAGAACCCAUACAGCUUCUAUGUCACCAAACACUCCCCCUGGCCAGGCAUAUUAUCCAGGUGCUUUAAGCUCAGGAUUAUCUCUACUGCAUCUGCCCUGCAAUACCUUGGAUUUCUCCUUUAAUCCUCACACCAACCCUAUGAAGUAGGUAUGAGUACCCCCAAUUUAAAGGUGGGAAAACUGAGGCUUGGAGAGAGAAUUGCCUUCUUUUCCUCUCCUGCUGUUGAAACAUGACCUAUGAAGCAAGGUUGGCCUCGAAAGCUGCUUUGUCCUUAAUAUAUCCCCAGGGAUUUUGGGAAUGGUGAGGGCAGGAGAGAUGGCAUCAGAUUUGGAGACAGAAGUUUGAAUCCCAUCUCCACUACUACUAAUUUCAUAGCCCUGGAAAAAGCCAGGAGCUUGCAUUUCCUCAAGGGUACAAGGGUGGAAGUUACAUUAACCUCGAAGGCUGUUGUGAGCCCAAAAUGAGACAAAGUGCUCAGAGCAGUAGGCACAUAGUAGCUGCCCAAUAAAUAUUUGUUUCAUUGCCCUUAAAGCCAUGUCUUGUUCUGUGUUCUCAUAACACAUCUCCGGUUUCUCCCUUGGUCCACUUACCAAGUGUGAACAGGUAUUCUUGUUAUUUAGACACCUGGGGCUGGAAACUUCUUGAAGUCAAGGGCCACUCCCAAACAUCUUUAGAUUUCCCACUUGGCCUAGUACAUUUGAUGCAGUCAUAUCCAACCAAUGUGUUUUUUUAAAAAAGUGCAAAUAGCUUUUCCAUUUUUUUCUCCUAAUAAAAGUAAUCAGUGCUCAUUGUAAAAUAGGGAAAGAAUUUUACCUCCCUCCAUCAUCUUGAUGCGAGGAUUACCUGUGAUAAAGCUGGUAAGGUGCCUGCCAUUGUGUCUGUCACAGAGCCUUCCAAGUAUUGUCAUUUUCAUUAGUUCAAAAAACACAUAGGGCAUUUCAAAAAGUAAAAAAACAUCUGCUGAUCUUCUGGGAUGUCCUCACUGAUGUUUUUCCAUGUAUAUAAAUUUAGACAACUCACAGAUAUAAAACACAC